rfam:Rhizoclosmatium globosum strain JEL800 BCR33scaffold_1, whole genome shotgun sequence.
ACCUAUAGAGGGUCAGGAUUCCGCCCUUUCACGGCGGCGGUCGGGGUUCGAUUCCCCGUAUGGGAG